rnacentral:rRNA from 1 species
CCCGACGGCUAUUUGGGUGAGAAUAAGCCAUGCAAGUCGAAUGGAAUACCAAAAUAUUCCAUGGCAAACUGCUCAAUAACACGUGAUCAACUUACCCUAUGGAAAACAAUAACCUCUGGAAACGGAGGAUAAUGGUUUAUAGUUGAAAAGGCUUGGAAAAGUUUUUCAAUAAAAGGGAAUAAUAAAAAUGGUUAUUAUUUUGCCAUAGGAUAGGAUUGCGGUCGAUUAUGGCUGUUGGUGAGGUAAUGGCUCACCAAACCAAUAAUCGAUAGGGGCCGUGAGCGGGAGCCCCGAGAUGGGUACUGAGACAACGACCCAGGCCUUACGAGGUGCAGCAGGCGCGAAAACUCCGCAAUACACGAAAGUGUGACGGGGUUACCCAAAGUGCUUAAUUUUUAAGCUGUGGUAAGUGUGUAAUGUACCUUACUAGAAAGGAGAGGGCAAGGCUGGUGCCAGCCGCCGCGGUAAAACCAGCUCUUCAAGUGGUCGGGAUAUUAUUGGGCUUAAAGUGUCCGUAGCUUGUAUAAUAAGUUCCUGGUAAAAUCUAAUAGCUUAACUAUUAGUAUGCUAGGAAUACUGUCAUACUAGAGGGCGGGAGAGGUUUGAGGUACUUCAGGGGUAGGGGUGAAAUCCUAUAAUCCCUGAAGGACCACCAGUGGCGAAGGCGUCAGACUGGAACGCGCCUGACAGUGAGGGACGAAAGCCAGGGGAGCGAACCGGAUUAGAUACCCGGGUAGUCCUGGCCGUAAACGAUGCACACUAGGUGUUGGUAUGGCUAUGAGCCAUAUCAGUGCCGAAGGGAAACCAUUAAGUGUGCCGCCUGGGAAGUACGGUCGCAAGGCUAAAACUUAAAGGAAUUGGCGGGGGAGCACCACAAGGGGUGAAGCCUGCGGUUCA